rnacentral:misc_RNA from 1 species
UUUUAUUUACUUCCCAUCACGAGAUUGAGGUCGCGGAAUGAAUAUCAAAGACCCCAGUAGUCCUUCCAAUGGGUACCCACCCUCAUGGUACUUCACAAACCAAGGUCGGUCUGCUUGGGAGCACCAGGUAGCAACAGCAGACUCCAGGCUUAGUUCAGACACCCAAGUGACUGAAAUCACCAAAUCUCACUGGAUUCCCUCUGAAACCUGUCCAACUUGCUGUAAUAAGCAAUGUCGGAGGAAAUUUUCAUUACUAGAUCGUCCCCACCACUGUAGAAGAUGUGGGAAGGUAUUCUGCAACCCAUGUCUUCAGUUUCAAAGAAAAUUAAAUUUACUUGCCCAUCUUGAUCCAGAAGGAAAGUCUUACAAGGUGUGUCAAACAUGUUUUGAUGAGGGACAAGUGCAGGCAGGUCAAUGUCGGGACCUCACCCGAUAUUUUCACAGACUACACCAACAAGCAUCAGUGACUGCCACUGUGAAUGAAAAUGGAAAAGUAACCAAAUGUUGGAGACAAAGGCUUGAUCUAGAUGCAGAGUGUGCCCGUUUGCUUCAAGGUUUCAAAACAGCCAUUGGGACUUCAGAAAUAAAGAAGACUCUCCAUGAUUUGACCACCUUAGUCACCAUGCCAAGCUGGCAGAAAUCAUCAACAUGGUUGGCAACAAGAGAGCUUGGCGGAUUCCUGCCAGAACUGUAGCAGUAAGUUUGGCCUGAUGAGGAAGAAGCUACACUGUAGGGUGUGUGGGCGAGCAGUCUGUAAAACCUGCUCCACCAAAGAUCUUCUGCUGUACGUGCCAAACAACAACAAAGAAUCGGAGCCACAACUUGCCAUCAUUCGUGUCAUUGGUUGUCCUGCAAAGGAGCCAGAUAUAGCUCUGUAUUUGAGAGUCUGCAACCCUUGUCAGGAGAAAAUUUCCAACAAACAAAUUAUUGAUAAUAAUGCCACUGAAGAUGCAGUCCAAGAAGGAGGGGAUAACCUAGUUAGAUUGGAAGCUCUCCAUAACAACAGUGUAAAACUGGAGCAGAAAACAGACAGUCAGUUAGCACAAUAUCAACUUGUGAUAGAGUCUCUUGAGGACAACUCCAGAGUGAGUUCAGAUUCCAGUAGAAGCAAUAUUAAAGUUCUUGCCAAGGCACAGGUGGAUCUGGCUGAUUUUUUGUCACAAUACAACACAAACAUCAUGAAAAUGAAACAGCUAAAACCCUCCACAAAUACACAGGCCAUGCUCUUCAGAAAUUGCUUAAAGAGUAAAUGUGAUUUUUAUAUAGAAAACCAGUUUACAUUUCGUAAGUUGAAGCGGGAGUUAGAGAAGUCAGCACCCGCAGAAACCCUUCAAGUGAUUCAGCAAACGGUGGAUCUCAAUGCAAUAACAAGCGCACAACUAUACGUUAGACAGUUGACAUUUGAGACACUACACCUUUGUGAUAAGUACCACAUUUGUGAUUCCAUACCCAAAUUACUGAGCUCAUUAGAUGAGGCAGUGGAAGUCGAUGCCAAGCAAUGUAUAUCUCUAAAUGGUGAAAAUUGGGAGGUGCAUUCCAGCAGUAUUACCGAUAUGAUCAGAGUACAGAUGAAGGACCACCGGUUGAUUAAAUUAUCACGAUCUCAGUUAUCGUCUGGCGCGCAUGACCACGUGAUGGUGAUGAUCUCUAAACGAACCAGAGAAGCACUACAACAGGUGCAUGACCAACUAGAUAUGAAAUCUACAGACAAAAGUUUUCAAACAUCGAAAUCCUUCCUCGACAAAACUAAAAGCAGCUUAAAUGGCGUUGUGCUACAUACAGUGUAGUUUUCGCAGUGAUAUGUACAGCACAACAUGGUAAAAUAUCCAUUUUAAAUGACCGGUUAUUGCCCUAUGAAUUACAUAUCUUGACCAAUCAGAUUUUGCAUUCUGUAUAUUGUGUGUAUUUUCAAACAGAUGUUUGAAUUCAAUUGAAAUAUAAUUUAAGUCAAGAAGGUUUUUUUUUUAAAAAUCGUAGAAUUAAAUUAAAUGCGAUAUUUUUAAGCAUUUGUUUUUACAAAAAAUUAAGUUUGUCUAUAAAUGAUAGACCUUUUGAAAAACAAGAAGAUGCGAAUUUUUAACAUUAACUUACUCAUACGUUCAUCUAUUUAUUGAAUUGUAAUUACAAUAGAUCAAUUGUGCUGUUUAUUUUUGUGCAGUAAUUUUUCUACAUUUUUCAUUAAUAAAACUUAAUACAGU